GCCCCUCUAGCUCAGUGGUAGAGCAUUCGGCUUUUAACCGUGGGGUCCAGGGUUCGAAUCCCUGGAGGGGUG
rfam:Edhazardia aedis TSNM 41457 supercont1.62, whole genome shotgun sequence.